CCAUGGGGGAACCCUGNAUGCAGCGACGCCGCGUGAGAUGAAGAAGUAUCUCCCNUAUGUAAACUUCUAUCAGCAGGGGAAGAUAGAUGGACGGUACCUGCACUAAGAAGCCCCGGCUAACUACGUGCCAGCAGCCGCGGUAAUACGUAGGGGGCAAGCGUUAUCCGGAUUUACUGGGUGUAAAGGGAGUGUAGGUGGCCAUGCAAGUCAGAAGUGAAAAUCCNGGGCUCAACCCCNGAACUGCUUUUGAAACUGUANUGCUAGAGUGCAGGAGGGGUGAGUGGAAUUCCUAGUGUAGCGGUGGAAUGCGUAGAUAUCGGGAGGAACACCAGUGGCGAAGGCGGCCUACUGGGCACCAACUGACGCUGAGGCUCGAAAGUGUGGGUAGCAAACAGGAUUAGAUACCCUGGUAGUCCAAGGGCGAAUUC
rnacentral:rRNA from 1 species